AACAAUACCGACAUCAAUAACUCAGGUUACUAUGUAUUCAUACAUCUAGUAAUACAACAGAUCAUCAUUAGAGCUCACCGCAAUCCUACUUAUAAUUGAAGCAGAUAUCAAACUGUACAUUUAAACAAUUGUAUAAUUCAUUAAAUCAUACCUUAUUGGCAAUUUACAACGAGACUGUAGAACUCCACAACAGGUUUGGAGCGAGUUAGUUCUGUUGAACUGUAUUUUAUACUAUUUCCUAUUUGUUGGUCGAGCUCAAUAGAUUUUGGUAGGUUUACUAUAUCUUUUUAGGUAUCAGUUGUAACUACCAUUCAAUACUUUGUAAUUCAAAAAUCAUUAUGUUUAUUUUUAUAGAAAUUAAUAUGUGCCGCUGUUCAACAUCACCAUUUUCUUGUUUCAGAUUUAAAGAAUUAAUUAUCCUGUUCUCCACGGAAGCUCUGAGUUUUAAGUCUGCACGUACUCAUUGCCGAUAUUUAUUUCAACUCAAUAGGUAUCAUUACGGUUUGGAGAACCUAAAAAAUCUUAAAUUAUGAAUUCCAACGUAAAUAUAUGAGGAAAAUAAAGAUGUGCCAUGCUUUACAUAUUUUGAGCGAAUCGACCAGCUAUAAACAGUACUCAUCAACACAUUAGUGGUGAGCAUACCGUACAUGGAAAAGCAAAACAUCCUUUUUUAAUAAUACAAUUUUUUCUUAUUAACUAAAAUCCUUACCCGAUUAGGUGGGUGUUGUUCAUCCAUUAUCUGUGCUACAUUUAGAGAGAGACCUCUUUCCAAAUCGAUUACACUUUCAUUUUCUAUGUUUACACAUCACUCAUUUGUAAAUAGACCUUCUAACUGGACAAUAAAAUUUUCUCAGUUUUUAAAUUAAAGAAAUGGAGAGUAUUAUACAAUAUUGCAUGAAUUGAAAACAUUGAAGCGAAAGAGCGUGAACAAGGAUUUCAUCCUAACUCGUAAAGCAA